GUGGGUAGAGCUCAGUGGUAGAGCAUGUGCUUAGCAUGCAUGAGGUCCUGGGUUCAAUCCCCAGUACCUCCA
rnacentral:tRNA from 1 species